GCCAGUAAAAACAGCAUAAAUUUACACAUGACCUAGUGUGAUUACACUUUUAUUCUCUUCCUUGGAAGAAACAACAACAAUGACAACCUCCAUAACUAAUGCUUCUGGUCUAAAAAACCUUCUCCCUAAAGGACAUGUUUUCACCCACUACCAAUGAUCUCAACAAAUUUCUGGAUAGAAAGGACCUAUAGACAGAGAGAUGUACUUGCCGGAUUUUUUCAUCAACUGAAGAACAGGGGCAUCUGCUGCCACAGAGAGGAGAAGUUGCUCUUUUGCCUUUGGCCAUGGAUGUAUCAGGGUGGCUGUGUAUUCGCCUGGAGAGCCCACAGAUGCCACUGACACAGCAGCUGCUCUGACAAUAGCCCAUCAAUGGCUCCUGGAAAAACCUAGUAGACUGGCAGCUUUCAUUGCAAAUAACCAGGAAAUAAGAAGAUAGUGCAUUUUAUAUUUACAAGAGUGUUUCCUCUCCUGAAGCGUCCCCAGAGUUUCCACUCCAGGCCUGAGAUGAGUGAUUACCCAGCACAGAUUGUCUUAUUUAUUUGGAAGACUCUCCAGCUCAGUCCAGCUGCUUUUUCUUGGGACAGCAGACAGACCCUGGACAUGGUGCUCAGCAACUCAAUCUAUUGAAUUUCAAAACAUGUAGAGGUGUCGACAUAAGUCUCAAAACUCUGCACAGAGAAUCCCAAACCACAAGCUUGGACAUUUCCAAGGAAAGAAGCACAGGGUGGCAGGAUGAGGCAAGAGGCUGCUUACUCCAAGCCAAAUCUCAUGACCCAACCGCAUAGUCAUAAGAGGAGUGCGUUCAGUUGCUUUAGGAAACCAAGAGCAGUGAAAGAAAACACUUGGGAAUUUACUGGUAGAUAAGGUUUUUCUGAUUGAAGAAAAGGUACAAAGUAAUGCAGACCAAUGAUGGUUUCUGGGCAGCAUUAUGAUUAUGUCUUUUUAGGAAAAUGCCCCUUCUAGGGGACCUCACUUGCUGUCUGCCCACAGAUUUAUCUGGACUGAAUCUCGGUUACUAGUUUUUGCUUUCAAAGACCUCCUAUCUAGGGGAACAUUUGAAAGGAAUUUACCAAGUGCUUCCCUGCUGCAUAAUCUGUGUGUUCUGUGUUAACACUAACUUGCAUUUUGCAUGUGGAGCCAGAAGCUCUCUUCUCGGGAGCCUGGGUCAUACUGCUCCUUUAAAAAUGAAAGUGAGAGAGAGAGAGAGGCCACGCUGAUUUUAGAAUUGAGUCAGGGCUUUGUGAUUUAUAGAGUACGCAGGGUGAAUAGGCGUGGUUUCUAGAUAUCCACAGGCAAGUCUUACCUUAAAAGACACAGGACUUUGCACACGCCUUACAGAACAUUCAGAACAGAAGAAUCAAGGCUUGUAACUGAUGAGACUAAUAGAUAGAAUAUAUUAAACUGAGUAGAAUCUGGUGCCUAAAAAUUUACAUAAAAGUGGCCCAGAGAAUCCACUCAGCACAUGUCCUGGCCCACUCAGAAAUGAUGAAAUACAAAUAUUUAAAGAAAAAUCUGGAUUCCUUUGUGUGUAUUAAAAAUCCUCUCAAAUAUUCUAAAUGGAUGAAGUUUGGUCUUGGUGAGGGAUAGAGGGUCUGAGACAGUAUUAGCAGUUUUAUUUUUUGCCCAAGUUGUACAGUGCCUGCUUUAUCCAGGUUUCUGUGGAUUUUAUGUUGGGGGGAAGAAAGAAGCAAAAGAGCAGUGGGCCUGGUUAAUCCUUUUAUCAAGGUCACUCCACCACCAGCAUCUCAGAGGGAUUUCCAGGCCAAAAGCAAUCCUUUGUGUGUGUGUCUUACGAUAGUGGCAUGUCCUCAACUCCUUUGAAAGUAUGAGGUCAGGAGUUCGAGACCAGCCUGGCCAACAUGGUGAAACGCUGUCUCUACUAAAAAUACAAAAAUUAGCUGGGUGUGGUGCAGGCCUGUAAUCCCAGCUACUGGGGAGGCUGAGGCAGGACAAUGGCUUGAACCUAGGAGGCAGAGGUUGCAGUGAGCUGAGAUCAUGACACUGCACUCUAGCCUGGGCAACAGAGCAAGACUGUCUCAAAAAAAAAAAAAAAAGAAAGAAAGAAAGAAAAAAGCAAGAAAGAAAGCUAGCUGUUUCCACAGUGAUCAACUCCAUCAACUGUCAUGGACAAGUACAAGUUGGACCUAAGCUGUGCAUCGUUUUUUUUUUUUUUAAACCAGGCUUGUUUCCUGGAUAAUUUCCCUUAGAUAUAUUGCUGUGUCAAUUAGAAAUCAUAUUUAUUUUCACUUAUGAAAAAGACGUCUGGAGAUGUGCAAUCUAGGGCUGCAGUCUUUCUUACCUUUCUAUUUUCCCUUGUAGGGGGUGUCCUUGAUUUGCAUUCUUACAAGGUGGCUUCAAGAGCAUAAGCUACCAAGUUAGAGGUCCAGAUGGAGAGAAAGGUGAGCAGGGAGAGGAACAGGGCAUGAGCCAGCCAAGUCAGCUUAAAAGCUUUCAUAAAAGCCGCACCCAUAGAUUCCUGCUAACAUCUUAUGUGCCAGAACUAUGCCAGUUAACCCUACCCUCCAGCAACCUGCAUCGGGACUGGAAAUACAGCUGUAUUUUUUUUUUUUAUAAACCCGAACACAUUGUUUUCCAAUUAGGAAUUUGUUAGGGAAAAGAAGAUGAUGGGAGAGUCGAUGAAAUGGAAAUUUAAAAAAUCCACCUUACUAUGUUAUUGUGGGGAUUAAAUCCAUGCAUCAAUCACUUGAUAAUACUCACUAAUCUGGUGGCACAUGAAAAUAAUAUUUUCUUCUCUCUCCUUAGUCUUACUCACUUCUCC
rnacentral:lncRNA from 10 species